rnacentral:rRNA from 1 species
UACGUAGGGGGCUAGCGUUGUCCGGAUUUAUUGGGCGUAAAGAGCGUGUAGGCGGCCAGGUAGGUCUGCUGUGAAAACUCGAGGCUCAACCUCGAGAUGUCGGCGGAAACCAUCUGGCUAGAGUCCGGAAGAGGAAAGUGGAAUUCCUGGUGUAGCGGUGAAAUGCGCAGAUAUCAGGAAGAACACCCGUGGCGAAGGCGGCUUCUGGGGCGGUACUGACGCUGGAGACGCGAAGCGUGGGGAGCGAACAGG